rnacentral:lncRNA from 1 species
GGGAGGGAAAUACUACUCCUCUAAAUGUAAGUAGUUGGAUAGUAGUGCUUUCAGAAAAGAUGGAGGAGCUGCAUCUCAGCAUAAUUAAAUCUAAAACCUAUACUUGGACUGCUCCAAUCAGGUAAACCAGGAAAAUCGGUGCAAACCUGCAUUGUCCAGUCCAGAAGCCUUCUGAAAGACCUUUAAUGCUUUAUCAGGGCUGGAUAAUUGGGUAUUUAUUACUGUAGUUAAUUUGCCUAACAGAAAAGGGGCAUUCUGUAAUGGUUAAACUUUAUUUUUUCUUUUUUUGGUCUGGUGGGUAAUCAUUUUGGGCUUACAGUAUUUUCUGUCAUAGGUACAGCUAUUACCAGAGUCUUGAAGAUAAAGAUAUCUUGCUUUCUGCAUUAUUGAGAACUCCUGAAAAAACUUACAUGAUUAAAAAAGGUGCGUGAGCUAGACUGCUUGUCUUGCCAAGUGCUCACCUUUUUCCUGAUGAUCGUCUGUGCAUGCUACUGAAAUCCAGUGAAGGUGUGCUGUGAACGAGCAGAUUGCAGCCCCAGCCUGGGAAACCUGAGUGGAAGAACCUACUCUAUACACAGUAAGGCACAAAAGAGCAAAGUCCGCUCCUAAGAGAGUAGCAAAGAGGAUGCUCGCAAGGCUCAAAGGAAAAAGCAGAGAAUGGCAAAAGGGAGAAGUACCCGGGUGUACUUCCUGUCAUCUGAUCAUACCAGAGUGACUUUCCUGCCACUCUAAUGUAUAAUCAGGUCACCCAAAAUAUGUAAGCAACAACAGUGGGAGAUGUGCCAGCAGAAGACUACUGCUUUAAAAA